rnacentral:lncRNA from 1 species
UUCUUCUUUUUUGUUUUGUUUUAUUAUGGAUCAAACCAAGGAGGUUAAACGAUCUCUUAAAUCAAAAAGAAAUCCACGAAUUACGUAUCUAUUUUUUGUUGUUGUAAUCAGCGAUCCACGAAUUUACGUUUACCACGAAACGUCUUUUUUUUCUCUAUCCACGAAAAUUGAUACCCACGAAAAUAAAUGAAUCCACAGUAU